AACGAACGCUGGCGGCAGGCUUAACACAUGCAAGUCGAACGCCCCGCAAGGGGAGUGGCAGACGGGUGAGUAACGCGUGGGAAUCUACCCAGAUCUUCGGAACAACUGAGGGAAACUUCAGCUAAUACCGGAUACGCCCUACGGGGAAAGAUUUAUCGGUUCUGGAUGAGCCCGCGUUGGAUUAGCUAGUUGGUGAGGUAAUGGCUCACCAAGGCGACGAUCCAUAGCUGGUCUGAGAGGAUGAUCAGCCACACUGGGACUGAGACACGGCCCAGACUCCUACGGGAGGCAGCAGUGGGGAAUAUUGGACAAUGGGCGAAAGCCUGAUCCAGCCAUGCCGCGUGAAGUGAUGAAGGCCUUAGGGUUGUAAAGCUCUUUUCAGUAGGGAAGAUAAUGACCGGUACUACAGAAGAAGCCCCGGCUAACUUCGUGCCAGCAGCCCGGGUAAGGCACGACUGU
rnacentral:rRNA from 1 species